UUUCCCCCUCCUUAAUGGU
rnacentral:tRNA from 1 species